rnacentral:rRNA from 1 species
CAGUCGCGUUUGCUGGGACUCAACCUUGCUUUUGCCUGGUGUACUUCUCAGUAAAUGGGCCAGCAUCAAUUUCGGGCGCCGGAAAAGGAUUUGAGGAAUGUGACAGCUUGCUGUGUUAUAGCCUCUUGUCGUACACGGUGCUUGGGAUUGAGGACUGCAGCACGCCUUUUGGUCGGGGUUCUCCCACGCCACGUGCCUUAGGAUGCUGGCGUAAUGGCUUUAAACGACCCGUCUUGAAACACGGACCAAGGAGUCUAACAUAUAUGCGAGUGUUU